UACGAAGGGGGCUAGCGUUGUUCGGAAUUACUGGGCGUAAAGCGCACGUAGGCGGAUCUUUAAGUCAGAGGUGAAAUCCCAAGGCUCAACCUUGGAACUGCCUUUGAUACUGGGGAUCUUGAGUCCGGAAGAGGUGAGUGGAACUGCGAGUGUAGAGGUGAAAUUCGUAGAUAUUCGCAAGAACACCAGUGGCGAAGGCGGCUCACUGGCCCGGUACUGACGCUGAGGUGCGAAAGCGUGGGGAGCAAACAGG
rnacentral:rRNA from 1 species